rnacentral:rRNA from 1 species
UACAGAGGUCCCAAGCGUUGUUCGGAUUCACUGGGCGUAAAGGGUGCGUAGGCGGUCGGGUAAGUCUGACGUGAAAUCUCCAAGCUUAACUUGGAAAUGGCGUCGGAUACUAUUCGGCUUGAGGAAUGGAGGGGAGACUGGAAUUCUCGGUGUAGCAGUGAAAUGCGUAGAUAUCGAGAGGAACACCAGUGGCGAAGGCGAGUCUCUGGACAUUUCCUGACGCUGAGGCACGAAAGCCAGGGGAGCAAACGGG